UACGAAGGGUGCAAGCGUUAUCCGGAUUUAUUGGGCGUAAAGAGCGUGUAGGCGGCCAGGUAGGUCUGCUGUGAAAACUCGAGGCUUAACCUCGAGCUGUCGGCGGAAACCAUCUGGCUAGAGUCCGGAAGAGGAGAAUGGAAUUCCCGGUGUAGCGGUGAAAUGCGCAGAUAUCGGGAAGAACACCCGUGGCGAAGGCGGUUCUCUGGGACGGUACUGACGCUGAGACGCGAAAGCGUGGGGAGCGAACAGG
rnacentral:rRNA from 1 species